UUUACAACAUUGCUACGUUUGAGGAGUUAAGUCCUGAAACCCGGCAUUGAAGUCGUAUUUUGUGCUAUCUUAGGAAGCUUUGCAGAUCAAGUUUGAAGUAAUAUGUUGUACCUUCAAAGUAUGGGCAACAAUCCUUAAUAUAUUCUUAAAUUUAAAGUUUCUUUCAAAUGGUUUGGGAACUUCUCAAAUGCAGAAUUGACAUGUUACGUGGCCAAAAGAAGAGGCUUAAAACUGGUAAAUUCUUUAGGCUGUUGCUUCUUGACCAUGGACAGCAAGUUUUAUCGUCACACUGACUUGCCUAUGUUUGAUAGGUGAGGUAUUGGUUGGUCCGUCUAAAGUGCUAUUCAUGGAUGAAAUAUUAAAUGGACUUGAUAUUUUGGUUUUUCUUUUGUUGUUUGUAUUUGUACAAGUCAAUAACUGAUGGCCCCUGUUUAUUGCAUUCCUGAUUUCCAAACUUAAAUUUCGUGGUGGGUGCCGUGGGAUAAAGAAAGCUCUUGACAAAUCAGCUGAUCAACUUGACAAAGAACUGGAGAAGUAUCAUGCUAUGCAAUCUUAAUUGACCCAUGUGCUCUGUUAUGCAAUGAAAACUGUUAGUGAGAAAUUGGUUGUACGAAGUUUGAGAAGCUGAGUGCUUGUUAGGUAUUUUGAUGUAUUAGGACAACUUUAUGCUUGGUAUCAUGUACUUUGCAGUGACUCAAUGAAGUUGGCUAGUGUUUAGAUUUUAAGCGGUUAAGUUUCUAGUGCCUUUAAUCACCUUCUUCCACUUUUAGAAUGUUGUGUUGAAGUGGUUAUAUCCUGCACAAUUUUUCACUUUUAGAAUCUACAAUAUAUAAAAGGGGGAAGAGGGUUUAGCUACAGUGCAGCCAUGGGCCGGUUUUGAUGGUAAUUCUGAUGAAUUCGUGGGGUAUUUUGGUCUUUCCAACGUGGCAUAAAGGUGAAAUUUGUGGCUCCUG